CGGGCCGCGUCGACGGUGAAGUAUAGGGGCUGACGCCUGCCCGGUGCUGGAAGGUUAAGAGGAGUGCUUAGCGCAAGCGAAGGUACGAAUUGAAGCCCCAGUAAACGGCGGCCGUAACAAUAACGGUCCUAAGGUAGCGAAAUUCCUUGUCAGGUAAGUUCUGACCCGCACGAAAGGCGUAACGAUUUGGGCACUGUCUCAACGAGAGGCUCGGUGAAAUCAUAGUACCUGUGAAGAUGCAGGUUACCCGCGACAGGACGGAAAGACCCCGUGGAGCUUUACUGUAAUUUGAUAUUGAAUCUUGACUCCACCUGUACAGGAUAGGUGGGAGCCGAUGAAGCAUGGACGUCAGUCUAUGUGGAGGCAAUGGUGGGGUCGACGCGGCCGCGGCCGCGUCGACAUCCCGCUGUGAUGUAUGUCGGAGAGUGUUUUGCCUAUGUUCUCCUCUAGGAGUUUUAUAGUUCCUGGUCUUAUGUUUAGAUCUUAAUCCAUUUUGUAGUUUAUUUUGUGUAUCGUGUUAGAAAGUGUUCUAGUUUCAUUCUUUACAAGUGGUUACG
rnacentral:rRNA from 1 species